GAUGAACGCUAGCGGCAGGCUUAAUACAUGCAAGUCGUGGGGCAGCAUGAGUAGCAAUACUUGAUGGCGACCGGCAAACGGGUGAGGAACACGUACACAACCUUCCUUCAAGCGGGGAAUAGCCCAGAGAAAUUUGGAUUAAUACCCCCAUAAUAUAUUUGAUAAGGCGUCUUAUUAAUAUUAAAGCUUCGGCACUUGAUGAUGGGUGUGCGGCUGAUUAGAUAGUUGGCGGGUAACGGCCCACCAAGUCUACGAUCAGUAGCUGAUGUGAGAGCAUGAUCAGCCACACGGGCACUGAGACACGGGCCCGACUCCUACGGGAGGCAGCAGUAAGGAAUAUUGGACAAUGGACGAAAGUCUGAUCCAGCCAUGCCGCGUGAAGGAUUAAGGUCCUCUGGAUUGUAAACUUCUUUAUAU
rnacentral:rRNA from 1 species